CCAUCUUGUUAUUGCCCCUUUCAAAGGUCAGCUGCUUGGUCUUUAAUUUCCGAGGCUGGCUACUACAGAGCUCGGGAUUGCUGUGCCUUCCCUUCAAUGAAUCCAGCAGCCCUGGCAUGGGUGCCCCUCCCAGGCUGGCAGCAAAGGCUGUGGCUCUUGGGGUUGCCUGCAGUGGAGUGGUUACACCUUUGCAGGGCUGUUUUGUGUGUGGGAAAGGAUUUCAAGGAACAAUUGACCAAAUGAAACCUCCGUAAUGCUUCUAAAUACUCAAACACAUUAGACAUGCCUGCCCAGCUCAGAGAUAAAUUAGAGCUAUUAUCACUAGAGCCCAGACAAACAAAUGGAGGGUUCUCUCCAAACAAGCCAUUCACUCAAGAGACUGGAUUUACAAGGGUGAGGGAAGCAGCAUGAGCUGCAGGCACCUGCUUUCUUCUGAAACCUGUUUAAAUUGGCUGUAUUGACUGGUAAAGGAGGAAAGAGAGCACAGCUCUGCCCUUUGUGAUCUGGGGAGUCACUUCCGUGUAGGAACAGCAACAUCAUGAUGCACUAGUUGGCAUUUUGCUCUCUGUGUCCACAAUCAAAGCUGGAAGUCAGACCCUGACCCACUUUGCUUUUUUCCCAUGUGAUGGUUGGGAGAUUAAGGUCCUAGAGCACAUCAGGGAUGCCAAGGCCACUUUGCUUUGCCCCUGGAUUUUUGUUUCUGCUUCCAAGGAGGGAUGUGGAGCUGGGUUGGUGGUAAGGUGGCACUGAGAGAGAGUUUAGUUCAAAUCAGUGUCUUGGGCAUCAAGGAAACUGCCUGAAAUAAGAAAUGGGAGCCAGAGUAUGCACUGUGGGUUUGGUUUUGUGUGGCAGCUAAAGGAAGGAAGGGGCAGAUACAGAGACCAAAAGAAGUAAAGGAAAAAAAGAGAUCAUUAUAAUGCUUCCCUGGCUGCCUUGGGCAGUCAGUGCUCUGGUGCAGGGAGGUCGGUGGCACAGCUUUGCCAUGGUGGCCAGAAGCACCAUGCUGCGGUUGAGCAUGACAGAGGCUGGUACUUGGAUCGUGGCUCAGGCAGGGUGUCUGGAGAAGGGCCAUGGUCACUACAAAGUUUCGGCGCUUGUCUGGGCCCCAUAAACCAGCCCUGAUGCGACUGGGGGGAUCCAGGCUGGAGGGAGAGGUUGGGCUGUGGGGUGAGGGCUUUGCAGCGCUUGUGCCCUCAUCUGCUUGCCUGGCAGCUCAGGCCAGCAUCACCUGCAGAGGCUAUGACGAAAGGUGUUAUUCUCCUCUGAGAGAUGCUCCUGAACAGAAAAACUUGAUCCUGAACCAGAGUGCUGCUUUUUGGAAGACAUCCAGUCUCUAUGCACAACAUUUGACUGAUGAUGAAUUUGCCAUUUCCCUUGGUAACCGGACCUGGUUCUCCUGCACUGCUGGCCAGACUGAAGGGCACAAGUGGUCUCAGCAUCACUGUCAUGCAUGUAGAGAAAUUGAGUUUAUUUGCCAGCUUCCUUAGAAGGUCAGAUGUCCACUGCAUUGUGUUGACCUUCCUUUGCUGAGCUAACGUGCUUCAAUAAUCUCACAGCUUGGGCUUUGUUCGUCUUCCACUGUGUUUGUCACCCUCCCUGUGUCUCCUGGCAGCACUGCUGGAUGGAGCACAGCACACGCAGGGAAAAGCUGGCAGAUCCUCUGAAAGGGGCAAGUAUAAACCAUGAGUGUUUCAAACUGAAACAGCAAGAUGCUGUGUUUAAAAAUAUUGAAAUUAUGUGUUUCCCCUCUAUUCAUUCCUCUCUUUGUAUUUCCUCCCAGGGAAAAAACUACUUGUGAAGUUGGAUCCAGAGCAAUAGCGGCUCUGGUGGCUGAAACCCAGCUGGUUUUCUGUUGAUUUAAAACUUAAGCAAGCCCUACUAAUUGGAGCCUCCCCCUCUCAAGUUUCUCCAGCCCUUGCAGUGAAGCUUUACCUCAUUUCACUGUUUCCAGGCUUCAAGAUUUGGAUACUGUUACCUGCCAUUUCUGCCUCUGAAAGGACUCUGGAGACCCCGAGUUUGGGAGCAUGCUUCUAACCACUGUGCAUAUGUGUUGCGCCUUCCAUAAAAGAAUCAAGCUGGUGGUCAGGCCCUAAAAUGCUUGUGUAUGUGUUAAAAAAAAAAAAAAAAAAAAAAGCUGCAGCAAAUCAGGAUUGAUGAUUUAGGGGCUGGGAGAAAAAGAAGCAAGGAUGUGUGUAUACGUGUGUUACACAUCUACAGGUUCAUGGGGAAUCCUACGGGAUGAAAGACUCACUGGCAGCAUACACCUAUAGUUACUGUGUUUGCAUCUCAGUUAUUGUAUGAGGCCCAAAUGAGGGUGUCAAAAUAAUCUAUGAUGAGCAUGUAAGACA